rnacentral:rRNA from 1 species
GAGUUUGAUCUUGGCUCAGAUUGAACGCUGGCGGCAGGCCUAACACAUGCAAGUCGAGCGGAUGACGGGAGCUUGCUCCUUGAUUCAGCGGCGGACGGGUGAGUAAUGCCUAGGAAUCUGCCUGGUAGUGGGGGACAACGUUUCGAAAGGAACGCUAAUACCGCAUACGUCCUACGGGAGAAAGCAGGGGACCUUCGGGCCUUGCGCUAUCAGAUGAGCCUAGGUCGGAUUAGCUAGUUGGUGGGGUAAUGGCUCACCAAGGCGACGAUCCGUAACUGGUCUGAGAGGAUGAUCAGUCACACUGGAACUGAGACACGGUCCAGACUCCUACGGGAGGCAGCAGUGGGGAAUAUUGGACAAUGGGCGAAAGCCUGAUCCAGCCAUGCCGCGUGUGUGAAGAAGGUCUUCGGAUUGUAAAGCACUUUAAGUUGGGAGGAAGGGCAGUAAGUUAAUACCUUGCUGUUUUGACGUUACCGACAGAAUAAGCACCGGCUAACUCUGUGCCAGCCGCCGCGG